UGAGGUUUUUCCAUGUUAAAGUUUUGAAUAUAUCUGUUCCAUUUUUUUUUCGUUAGUUUGAUCACGUGAAAUAGAAGAUAACAGAUUAGUUUUAUUUUAUCUUUUAAAAGUAAGAUGUUUUUAAUUGAGGAAAAACUGACCUCAGAUGUUUAUAAUUGUUUCGAUUUUAUACCAAAGAUGUAUAAAUUAUAUGGACAAUUAAAAAAGGAAAUACACAGA
rnacentral:lncRNA from 1 species